UACGAAGGGGGCUAGCGUUGCCCGGAAUCACUGGGCGUAAAGCGCACGUAGGCGGAUCUUUAAGUCAGGGGUGAAAUCCUGGAGCUCAACUCCAGAACUGCCUUUGAUACUGAGGAUCUCGAGUCCGGGAGAGGUGAGUGGAACUGCGAGUGUAGAGGUGAAAUUCGUAGAUAUUCGCAAGAACACCAGUGGCGAAGGCGGCUCACUGGCCCGGUACUGACGCUGAGGUGCGAAAGCGUGGGGAGCAAACAGG
rnacentral:rRNA from 1 species